CGCGUAUGCAACCUACCCAUUACAGGGGGAUAACACUGAGAAAUCGGUACUAAUACCCCAUAACAUCCAGGGAGGCAUCUUCUUGGGUUGAAAACUCCGGUGGUAAUGGAUGGGCAUGCGUUGUAUUAGUUAGUUGGUGGGGUAACGGCUCACCAAGACGACGAUACAUAGGGGGACUGAGAGGUUAACCCCCCACAUUGGUACUGAGACACGGACCAAACUCCUACGGGAGGCAGCAGUGAGGAAUAUUGGUCAAUGGACGCAAGUCUGAACCAGCCAUGCCGCGUGCAGGAAGACAGCUCUAUGAGUUGUAAACUGCUUUUGUACGAGGGUAAACGCAGAUACGUGUAUCUGUCUGAAAGUAUCGUACGAAUAAGGAUCGGCUAACUCCGUGCCAGCAGCCGCGGUAAUACGGAGGAUUCAAGCGUUAUCCGGAUUUAUUGGGUUUAAAGGGUGCGUAGGCGGUCGGAUAAGUUAGAGGUGAAAUCCCGGGGCUCAACUUCGGAAUUGCCUCUGAUACUGUUCGGCUAGAGAGUACUUGCGGUAGGCGGAAUGUAUGGUGUAGCGGUGAAAUGCUUAGAGAUCAUACAGAACACCGAUUGCGAAGGCAGCUUACCAAGCUACUUCUGACAUUGAGGCACGAAAGCGUGGGGAGCAAACAGGAUUAGAUACCCUGGUAGUCCACGCAGUAAACGAUGAUAACUCGUUGUCG
rnacentral:rRNA from 1 species